UGGGGAAUUUUGGACAAUGGGCGCAANCCUGAUCCAGCCAUGCCGCGUGCGGGAAGAAGGCCUUCGGGUUGUAAACCGCUUUUGUCAGGGAAGAAAUCUUCUGAGUUAAAUACCUCGGGGAGGAUGACGGUACCUGAAGAAUAAGCACCGGCUAACUACGUGCCAGCAGCCGCGGUAAUACGUAGGGUGCAAAGCGUUAAUCGGAAUUACUGGGCGUAAAGCGUGCGCAGCGGUUUUNUAAGACAGAGGUGAAAUCCCCGGGCUCAACCUGGGAACUGCCUUUGUGACUGCAAGGCUUGAGUGCGGCAGAGGGGGGAAUGGAAUUCCGCGUGUAGCAGUGAAAUGCGUNGAUAUGCGGAGGAACACCGAUGGCGAAGGCAAUCCCCUGGGCCUGCACUGACGCUCAUGCACGAAAA
rnacentral:rRNA from 1 species